CAAAUAUAUGCUUAGCACACUUCACAGAAGAUUUGUUUGUGAGAAGUAAAAAGAUUCGACCUCCUAUGGACAUUCGAAGACAGUCGCUUUUGCCGAGUGCAGUUCCAACAUUAUUGUUACCAAAAACGGAAAAUAGUAACAAUGAAAGUAAUAUGGACUUCAAAGUCAUAGCCGAAGAUUUUCCGCUUCCCGUCAUCCACGAAAAUGUACAUGUAGUCUUCCGAGUUACUCGUCAGCCCUGAUGAUCCAUCGAAUAUACAGGAAUGUAUGAUAGAUGCAGAAUCACCGAAGGGUCGAUUUAGAAGUAAUCGAAGGCUGGAGGAAACAUAUGCAAUGUGUUGAACGCCACCAAAAACAAGAAAAAAA
rnacentral:lncRNA from 13 species